UGAACGCUGGCGGCGUGCCUAAUACAUGCAAGUCGAACGAGGUGCUUUUGUAGCAAUACGAAAGUAUCCUAGUGGCGAACGGGUGAGUAACGCGUUGGUGACCUGCCCCAAAGUGUGGGAUAACAGUCCGAAAGGAUUGCUAAUACCGCAUGUGGUCAUUGGAUUUAGAAACUAAUGACUAAAGGAGUAAUUCGCUUUGGGAGGGACCUGCGUCCCAUCAGCUAGUUGGUGAGGUAACGGCUCACCAAGGCGACGACGGGUAGGGGACCUGAGAGGGUGGCCCCCCACAAUGGAACUGAAACACGGUCCAUACACCUACGGGUGGCAGCAGUAGGGAAUAUUGCUCAAUGGGCGAAAGCCUGAAGCAGCAACGCCGCGUGUGCGAUGAAGGCCUUCGGGUCGUAAAGCACUUUUCUGAGAGAUGAGAAAGGACAGUAUCUCAGGAAUAAGUCUCGGCUAACUACGUGCCAGCAGCCGCGGUAAAACGUAGGAGGCAAGCGUUAUCCGGAUUCACUGGGCGUAAAGCGCGUGCAGGCGGUGCGGUAAGUUGGGCGUGAAAUCUCCCGGCUCAACUGGGAGAGGUCGUCCAAUACUACCGUACUUGAGAGCAGAAGAGGAAGAUGGAAUUCCCGGUGUAGUGGUGAAAUGCGUAGAUAUCGGGAGGAACACCAGUGGCGAA
rnacentral:rRNA from 1 species